UGGCGCUUUGGAUACUAAAUAGGCAACUAAUUCAAUUGGUGCUUUCUCCGAGGGUCUGCUUGCAAACCGGUGCCAGACUCACUGGUCCUUUGUGUACUGCCCGCCCUGCAUGUGUCUGGGCUCCCCUGGCCAGUCCGUUUUUUUGUCUCUGAUGGUUAAUAAGCUUUGAGCCUAGUAGUCAAAUGUGGUGGGAACGGGGACAAGACGAGGGUCCUUAGUGAAGGUGUUUGUUGUUAAAUAGAACAAUUCAGCUGUCUCUUUAGAAAACUUGACAAAAGGAAAUGCUCCCUGCUGAAAAUUUUCUUAGCCUGUUGCACAAAAGAUGAAGUUUGUUUAAGAAAUUGCUGCUAAAGAAAGCGUCAACCCAUUAAGGUAUGGUUAGAGGUCCCAAUAUGACUAUUGCAAACCUGAAGGGGACUCUAUAGGAAAUAUAUGAGUCAUGGAGAGAUUGUUUUAACAACACACCUCACAACCCUCAGGGCGCAUGAUGUAAUGGCCAGCACUUGCACAUGGGAGCCAGAAAGCCUUUCAUGAGCUGCAACCUUUAUUCAAUAAAAAUUAUUGUGUUCCAGAUCUUUUUUUCUUCCCAAAGAGGGGAAAACAUAUAAAUAUCAUGUAGAAAGAUUUAGGAAUCCUAGAGAGCUCUGCAGGUUUUAAAAACAUUAAUUAUUGUUAAAACCAAGGGAAAAGAAGCAACACACACAAAACCAACACCAGAGAUUAUUUUUACCCUAACUUGGUUCAGUGACACCAGAUGUAGAACGGGGCUCUGUGCCUUGAAGUGUCACAAGUUUGAGUCAAAACUCAACUUCAAGUUAAUUGGCUGGUUUGGGGGCUACACAAAUUGAAGAGAGACAUAUUUGUUUCUGACGAGGAAACAGGGAGGGUCACUGAUCCUGACUCUGCACCCCUUUGCUAUGUUACCAGAAACUUGCUCCCCUAGGUAAAUAUCACUAAAGCUACACUUUUUAUCUUUCCUGAUGAUAAAGAAAUAGAAAACAAAUGCAAUCAUCAGAAAUCCUGUAGGAGAGUAAAAGAAACAAAACAAAAACAAAGGUGAGGCUUUAUGCUGUCCAGGUGCAUAUUCAAAAGCAAUGUUUGUUUGUCAACUCUGGGUUUUGCCUAUCUUUCCAACUAUGCUGACACCCAUAUGCAUUUAAAUAAUAUCUAAUACUAUGUUCUAAUUUUAAUAUUUUGAAAUGUACAAUGGCAAACCCUAUAAUUAAGUGGCUGGGCUUCCUUGCAUUCUGUUUUUAUUGCUAUUUCUAGAUAAAUUGCAAGCUUCUUUGGAUUAUUAGACAGGAUUCUUUCCUUUAAAAACCCCAUCCAGGUAGGAGGAAGAAACCAUUUGAAAUACUCUAUAUGUCAUUCAGGGGGAAAAAUUAUCUACAAAAGAGAAAGAGCUACCAUAUGGAUUCACUAGACACUAACCCUCUUGUCCACCCAAAUUAUUACACUCCCCACAUAAUAAGAAGACAUUGAAGGGGCUGUGUUGUAUGCCUUCCAGGCAUAGCUCCAUAGCCAGCAAUUAGUCUAUGUACUCAGAGGCCAAAAAACCUUAUUGUCUAACUUGCUGUAUAAUUAUCUGUUAUGAUGAACUGUGAUUCUAAGGACCAUUGUCUUUAAGCUUGGAUCUGUGUAUGGAGUAGAUGUCUGGCUGAGACCCAAGAAUGGACCUUCCUUUAAGUAUCUCUGCCUGAGUGAUUUCUCUGGUCUCUUCCUGGCU